rnacentral:rRNA from 1 species
AGCUUUACGCUUAAAUCACCUAAAGUAUAUCCUGCUCAGUGACAUAAACAGCCGCAGAAUUUUAUACUGUGCUAAGGUAGCAUAAUCACUCGUCUUCUAAUUAAAGAAUAGAAUGAACGGAAAAACGAAUUCUAGACUAUUUCAUUUUUUUACAAUAAAAUUAUACAAAAGUAAAAAUUCUUUUAAUCUCAAAAAAGACGACAAGACCCUCAAGAACUUAACUAUAGUUAAGCUGGGGCGGCCUUUUAAAAAAAUCUUAUCAAAUAAAACAUCAACCCUAUCUUUAUUUCAAAGUUACCUUAGGGAUAACAGCAUAAUUUAAUUUUACAGCUCAUAUUAAAAAUUAAGAUUAUGACCUCGAUGUUGAAUUAAAAAUCCUUUAAAAGAAAAUUUUUAAUAUGAAAGUCUGUUCGACUUUUAAACAUUUACA